GCUUACCUCUUCAAUAGUUUGCGAAGGCUCUUUGUCUUUGUGAAUUGAUGGUUUCCUGUGUUGCCUACCUAAUCAAAGGUAUUUUGCUGGUUAAUUGUUGUCCCUUUUUAUCUAGUGUCUAUCCUAUGACACUUGGUAAACCAUGGAGUGGUUUCUUUGAUCCUCAUCGUCAAUGAAAUAUUUGAUUUUGUGGCUCAUUGACCAUCGCUUGGUCUCUUGGAUACAAAACAUGAUGUUUGCAUAUUGGUUCUCAUGGAUUUUGUGGCUCAUUGAGCGAUCUCAUGUUAUCCUUUUAUUGCUCUCAUUUAGUUUUCGCGCAUCUCUACAUGGUGUUAGCAUGUUGGUUUUCAUGGAUUUUUGUGGCUCAUUGAGCGAUCUAUGUUACCCUUUCAUUGCUCUCAUUUAGUGCUCGCGCAUCUCUUGAAAUGAUUGCUUCCCUUGCCUAGGUGCAUGGGAGGCAUGUCAAAGAGGAAUGC
rnacentral:misc_RNA from 1 species